rnacentral:rRNA from 1 species
UACGAAGGGGGCUAGCGUUGUUCGGAAUUACUGGGCGUAAAGCGCACGUAGGCGGAUAUUUAAGUCAGGGGUGAAAUCCCAGAGCUCAACUCUGGAACUGCCUUUGAUACUGGGUAUCUUGAGUAUGGAAGAGGUAAGUGGAAUUGCGAGUGUAGAGGUGAAAUUCGUAGAUAUUCGCAGGAACACCAGUGGCGAAGGCGGCUUACUGGUCCAUAACUGAC